rnacentral:misc_RNA from 1 species
UUUCCGUAGGUGAACCUGCGGAAGGAUCAUUAUUGAAUAACCGAGUUGCGAAGCCUAUCGCUGACCCGCAAGGUCGUGGACGCGCGCGGGCCCUCCCACACGUCCAUCCCACACCCCUGUGCAACACCGCGCGGGUGCGCCCUUAGCUUGUCCGGUGGGGGGCUUACGCUUUCGGACAAUCUUUGUAUGGAGUGUAGAGUGUAUUUUUCGUUUUUGCGAUCACGCAUUUAAUAAAACUUUCAACAACGGAUCUCUUGGCUUUGCCACCGAUGAAGAACG